GAUCCUGGCUCAGGAUGAACGCUAGCUACAGGCUUAACACAUGCAAGUCGAGGGGAAACGACAUCGAAAGCUUGCUUCCGAUGGGCGUCGACAGGCGCACGGGUGAGUAACGCGUAUCCAACCUGCCUACCACUUGGGGAUAACCUUGCGAAAGUAAGACUAAUACCCAAUGACAUCCCACGAAGACAUCUGAAUGGGAUUAAAGAUUUAUCGGUGAUGGAUGGGGAUGCGU
rnacentral:rRNA from 1 species